GUGAAGAACGCAGCGAAAUGCGAUAAGUAAUGUGAAUUGCAGAAUUCAGUGAAUCAUCGAAUCUUUGAACGCACAUUGCGCCCGCCAGUAUUCUGGCGGGCAUGCCUGUUCGAGCGUCAUUUCAACCAUCAAGCCCCCGGCUUGUGUUGGGGACCUGCGGCUGCCGCAGGCCCUGAAAACCAGUGGCGGGCUCGCUAGUCACUCCGAGCGUAGUAAUACAUCUCGCUCAGGGCGUGCUGCGGGUUCCGGCCGUUAAAAAGCCUUAUUUACCCAAGGUUGACCUCGGAUCAGGUAGGAAGACCCGCUGAACUUAAGCAUAUCAAUAAGCGGAGGA
rnacentral:misc_RNA from 1 species